CAGUGACAAGUUGAGUCCACUCAAAGAUAGCCAGUCAUGUAGCUUUAGUUCGUACUCGGUCUUCAAACACAUUCAAUGGCGAAGCGAACGACGGCAUCGUGUCGUAAUUAUAGAAUAUAUUUUUUUUAUUGCUCACAUUACAACGUGUUUUGAGCGGUAGUGGUUUUUGACGCGCGUUCUUUUGGCAUACCAUUUUGGCAGAGCGCGCCCCACUCUGAAAGUGACACCUUGGAUCGUUGACGGAUUGGGGAAAAUGCCUCAUCAAAGUUUGUCAUCGUUAAGAACUCAAACUUUACAAUUAAUAUAUUUAAGCUUUUGCAAAAUUAACUUGGAAUGAAUGAAGAAUGCAUAUCGUUUGGGAAAUAUUUUUGAUUUUUCAAGCAUAUUUCAUCUGUACAUCAGCACAGCUAAUUUCACCAAAAAUUCAUGAUGGUUGGUGGGCGUACAAAGAUGCAGUCCAAGGGAGCUUUGUUCCAGUACCAUCCUUCUGGGGCCUAGUGAAUUCCGCCUGGAACCUGUGUGCCAUGGGAAAGAGGCAGUCGCCGGUCAACGUCGAGACCAGUCGCAUGAUCUUUGACC